UACGUAGGCAGCGAGCGUUGUUCGGAGUUACUGGGCGUAAAGAGUGCGUAGGCGGUUUUCUAAGUUUGGUGUGAAAUCUCCCGGCUUAACUGGGAGGGUGCGCCGAAACUGGAAGGCUUGAGUAUGGGAGAGGUAAGCGGAAUUCCAGGUGUAGCGGUGAAAUGCGUAGAUAUCUGGAGGAACACCGGUGGCGAAGGCGGCAUCCUGGACCGAUAUUGACGCUGAGGCAGAAAGCAUGGGGAUCAAACAGGAGUUAGAAA
rnacentral:rRNA from 1 species